UUCGGAGCUGAUAGACACCCCGGCUGACAGCCAGCAAGGAAAUGGAGACUCAGUUCUACAGCCUCAAGGAAGUAAAUUCAGCUAACAAUGCGAAUGAGCUUAGAAGUCGAUUCUUCUCAGAACCUCCCCAUAAGAGCCCAGCUGGCUGACACAUUGACUUCAGCCUUGUGAGAUUCUGAGCAGAAAAUCCAGUCAAGUCUUCUUGGACUUCAGAACUACAGAAUGGUUCUGAGAUGGCAACUGCUGGUUUCAUUUGUCUGGAGAUUUCAUCUUUCAGAGCUGUCAAGGAUUUUAGUGGCUAUAAGGAGAGAACUCUGAUGAUAAAGUUUAUUGAUUCAUGACUGCAUUCAUAUAAAACACUAAAUGGAAUUUUGAAUGGCAAGAAACAUGUUUUGUACAUUCAAUAAAUGAGAAUCUGUGUAUCAUGAAAA
rnacentral:lncRNA from 1 species